CCUACGGGAGGCAGCAGUGAGGAAUAUUGGUCAAUGGGCGAGAGCCUGAACCAGCCAAGUCGCGUGAAGGAUGACGGCCCUACGGGUUGUAAACUUCUUUUGUCAGGGAGCAAAUGAGUCCACGUGUGGUCUUAGCGAUAGUACCUGAAGUACAAGCACCGGAGAAAUCCGUGCCAGCAGCCGCGGUAAGACGGAGGAUGCGAGCGUUAUCCGGUUUUAGUGGGUUAAAAGGGUGCGUGGGCGGAAUAUCAGGUCAGCGGUAAAAAUUCGGGGCUCAACCCCGUCGUGCCGUUGAAACUGAUGUUCUUGAGUGGGCGAGAGGUAGGCGGAAUGCGGGGUGUAGCGGUGAAAUGCUUAGAUAUCACGCAGAACUCCGAUUGCGAAGGCAGCAUACCGGCGCCCAACUGACGCUGAAGCACGAAAGCGUGGGUAUCGAACAGGAUUAGAUACCCUAGUAGUC
rnacentral:rRNA from 1 species